rnacentral:rRNA from 1 species
UUAGAAAAGCUCCUUUUCGUUUCCCUAGGUGCCCGUACCGUAAACCGACACAGGUGGGUGGGUCGAGUAGACCAAGGCGCGCGAGAGAAACCUCUCUAAGGAACUCGGCAAAAUAGCCCCGUAACUUCGGGAGAAGGGGUACCCACUUCGGUGGGUCACAGUAAAUUGGGUUUAGCGACUGUUUAACAAAAACACAGCACUCUGCCAAGUUGUGAAAACAACGUAUAGGGUGUGACACGUGACCAAUGCGGAAAGAUCAAGGUGACUUGUUAGCCGCAAGGCGAAGCUCGGAGCCAAAGUCCCCGUGAAUGUCGGCCGUAACUAUAACGGUCCUAAGGUAGCGAAAUUCCUUGUCGGGUAAGUUCCGACCUGCACGAAUCGUGUAACGACUGAACCGCUGUCUCGGAGAGGAUCUCGGCGAAAUUGUAACGGCGGUGAAGAUGCCGCCUGCCCGCAGUAGGACGGAAAGACCCUAUGCACCUUUACUGUAAGCUGGUAUUGUGUUCUGAUUAAUGAUGCGUAGCGUAGGUGGGAGACUUUGAAGCCAUGGUUUCGGUUGUGGCUGAGUCGCAAUGUGAAACACCACUCUUUGUUAAUUAGGAUUCUAACCCUAUGCUGUUAGCCAGCUAGGGGACAGUGCCUGCGGGUCAGUUUGACUGGGGCGGUUUCCUCCCAAAGGGCAACGGAGGAGCGCUAAGGUACUCUCAGCAUGGUUUGCAACCAUGCGUCGAGCGUAUGGGUAGAAGAGUGCUUAACUGCGAGACCAACAAGUCGAGCAGAUACGAAAGUAGGCCCAAAUGAUCCGAUGGUUGAAUAUGGAAUUGCCAUCGCUCAACGGACAAAAGGUACGCUAGGGAUAACAGGCUGAUCGGAUCCAAGAGUUCAUAUCGACGAUCCGGUUUGGCACCUUGAUGUCGGCUCAUCGCAUCCUGGGGCUGGAGAAGGUCCCAAGGGUCCGGCUGUUCGCCGGUUAAAGCGGUACGCGAGCUGGGUUCAGAACGUCGUGAGACAGUUCGGUCCUUAUCCACUGUGGGCGCAGGAAACUUGAGGGGUUCAUUCUCUAGUACGAGAGGACCGAGAAUGACGCACUUCUGGUGUGGCAGUUGUUCCGUCAGGGGCAGCGCUGCUUAGCCAUGUGCAAGAGAUAAGCGCUGAAAGCAUCUAAGUGCCAAGCUCAUCCCAAGAUAUUGUUUCCCGGACGCAAGUCCCUAAAGACUCCAUGUAGACCACGUGGUUGAUAGGUCAGGCGUGUAAGUGCCGCAAGGUACUCAGCGGACUGAUACUAAUUAGUCGUGCGGCUUGAUCGC